rnacentral:rRNA from 1 species
UGGGGAAUAUUGCACAAUGGGGGAAACCCUGAUGCAGCGACGCCGCGUGAACGAAGAAGGUAUUCGUAUCGUAAAGUUCUGUCCUAUGGGAAGAUAAUGACAGUACCAUAGAAGAAAGCUCCGGCUAAAUACGUGCCAGCAGCCGCGGUAAUACGUAUGGAGCGAGCGUUGUCCGGAAUUAUUGGGCGUAAAGGGUACGCAGGCGGUUUAAUAAGUAGAAUGUUAAAGAUCGGGGCUCAACCCCGUAAAGCAUUGGAAACUGAUCAACUUGAGUAGUGGAGAGGAAAGUGGAAUUCCUAGUGUAGUGGUGCAAUACGUAGAUAUUAGGAGGAAUACCAGUAGCGAAGGCGACUUUCUGGACACAAACUGACGCUGAGGUACGAAAGCGUGGGGAGCAAACAGG